AGACUGUAGACCCCACAGGAAGUGAGGAGUGUAGACUAUGAACAUCACAGGAAGUAGGUGGAGUGAGGAGUGUAGACUGUAGACCCUACAGGAAGUGAGGAGUGUAGACUGUAAACCCCACAGGAAGUAGGUGGAGUGAGGAGUGUAGACUGUAAACCCCACAGAAAGUAGGUGGAGUGAGGAGUGUAGACUGUAGACCCUACAGGAAGUGAGGAGUGUAGACUGUAAACCCCACAGGAAGUAGGUGGAGUGAGGAGUGUAGACUGUAGACCCUACAGGAAGUGAGGAGUGUAGACUAUGAACAUCACAGGAAGUAGGUGGAGUAAGGAGUGUGGACUGUAGACCCCACAGGAAGUGAGGAGUGUAGACUGUAAACCCCACAGGAAGUAGGUGGAGUGAGGAGUGUAGACUGUAAACCCCACAGGAAGUAGGUGGAGUGAGGAGCAUAGACUGUAGACCUGACAGGAAGUGAGGAGUAUAGACUGUAGAUAGCACAGGAAGUUGAUGGGGUGAGGAGUAUAGACUGUAAACAUCAGAGAAAGUGGUUCAGGAGAAGAACUUAGGGUCCACAAUGCCUUAGAGACUGCAUUGACCACCUAGCUGCUGCUCAGUACAGCAGAAAGGAUGCCCACCACCUGCCUUACCUGUGCCCAGCAUCUGCCCAUCACUCCUUCCAGCUAUGUUUGUGAGGGUUGUCCUUAGGUGAGCAGUUGUGCUGAGGUGAGUGACCAUGCUGAGGUGACUAU